GGGCUGCUCCUAGUACGAGAGGACCGGAGUGGACGCAUCACUGGUGUUCGGGUUGUCAUGCCAAUGGCACUGCCCGGUAGCUAAAUGCGGAAGAGAUAAGUGCUGAAAGCAUCUAAGCACGAAACUUGCCCCGAGAUGAGUUCUCCCUGAGACUUUAAGUCUCCUGAAGGAACGUUAAAGACGAUGACGUUGAUAGGCCGGGUGUGUAAGCGCAGCGAUGCGUUGAGCUAACCGGUACUAAUGAACCGUGAGGCUUAACCUUACAACGCCGAAG
rnacentral:rRNA from 1 species